AUGAACGCUGGCGGCGUGGAUAAGGCAUGCAAGUCAAGGGGUCCCGAUUAGCAAUAAUCGGGAAACCGGCGAACGAGUUAGUAACACCUUGGUAUCUACCCAAAAGUCGGGCACAACCAGCCGAAAGGUUGGCUAAUUCCCGAUGGUCUCGCAAGAGUAAAGGCGCAAGCCGCUUUUGGAGGAACCUAGGUCCUAUCAGCUUGUUGGCGGGGGUAACGGCCCACCAAGGCUAUGACGGGUAGGGGGCGUGAGAGCGCGACCCUCAACGACGAAACUGAGAUACGGUUCGUACACCUACGGGUGGCAGCAGUCAAGAACAUUCGACAAUGGGCGAAAGCCUGAUCGAGCGACGCCGCGUGCAGGAAGAAGUCCCUCUGGGAUGUAAACUGCUUUUGCUAGGGAAGAACUUUGACGGUACCUAGAGAAUAAGGGGUUGCUAACCUCGUGCCAGCAGCAGCGGUAAUACGAGGACCCCGAGCGUUAUCCGGAAUUACUGGGCGUAAAACGUGAGCAUCCGGUUUUGCUAGUCCAAUGUUAAAUCUCAUUGCUCAACGAUGAGACCGCGUUGGAAACGGCAAGACUAGAGCGGGUAAGAGGCAAGCGGAACGUGCAGUGUAGGGGUGAAAUCCAUUGAUAUUGCACGGAACACCAAAAGCGAAAGCAGCUUGCUAGUGCUCUGCUGACGGUCAAUCACUAAAGCGUGGGGAUCAAAAAGGAUUAGAUACCCUUGUAGUCCACGCCCUAAACGUUACACACUAGCUAUUGGGAGCAUCGACCCUUCCAGUGGCGAAGCUAACGCGUUAAGUGUGUUGCCUGGGAAGUACGGCCGCAAGGCUAAAACUCAAAGAAAUAGGCGGGAAUUCGCACAAGCGGUGGAACAUGCGGUUCAAUUCGACUCUAAGCGAGGAACCUCACCAAGGCUUGAAAUCUAGCUGCAAGCUCCAGAAAUGGAGUCGCCUUCGAGGGUGCUAGACAGGUGCUGCACGGCUGUCGUCAGCUCGUCAUGUGAAUGGUUUCCUUAAGUGGAUUAACGAGCGCAACCCCCAUUGAGUGUUAUACGUGUCACUCGAAACUGCUUUCGUAAGAAAGAGGAAGGUGGGGAUGACGUCAAGUCAGCGUGGCCCUCUGAUGCCUUGGGCUACACGCAUGUUACAAUGGAUGUUACAAUGGGUCGCCAACCCGCGAGGGGGAGCUAAUCCCAUCAAAAGCAUCCUCAGUUCAGAUUGGAGGCUGCAACUUGCCUCCAUGAAGCUGGAAUCGCUAGUAAUCGCUGAUCAGAACGCAGCGGUGAAUACGUUCUCGAAUUUUGCACUCACUGCCCGUCAACUCAGGGGAGCUGGGAAUACCCGAAGACCUAUAUUUUAUGUAGGGACACGGUAGGCUCAGUGACAAGGAGUAAGUCGUAACAAGGUAA
rnacentral:rRNA from 1 species